GAAAUGCGAUAAGUAAUGUGAAUUGCAGAAUUCAGUGAAUCAUCGAAUCUUUGAACGCACAUUGCGCCCGCCAGUAUUCUGGCGGGCAUGCCUGUCCGAGCGUCAUUUCAACCAUCAAGCCCCCGGGCUUGUGUUGGGGACCUGCGGCUGCCCGCAGGCCCUGAAAACCAGUGGCGGGCUCGCUGUCACACCGAGCGUAGUAGCAAUCACCUCGCUCAGGGCGGGCUGCGGGUUCCGGCCGUUAAACAGCCUUACAAAACCCAAGGUUGACCUCGGAUCAGGUAGGAAGACCCGCUGAACUUAAGC
rnacentral:misc_RNA from 1 species